rnacentral:miRNA from 1 species
GACUGUGCUCCCAAGAUAACUUU